GACGAACGCUGGCGGCGUGCCUAAUACAUGCAAGUAGAACGCUGAAGAGAGGAGCUUGCUUUCUUGGAUGAGUUGCGAACAGGUGAGUAACGCGUAGGUAACCUGCCUGGUAGCGGGGGAUAACUAUUGGAAACGAUAGCUAAUACCGCAUAAAAUUGAUUAUUGCAUGAUAAUUAAUUGAAAGAUGCAAUUGCAUCACUACCAGAUGGACCUGCGUUGUAUUAGCUAGUUGGUGAGGUAACGGCUCACCAAGGCGACGAUACAUAGCCGACCUGAGAGGGUGAUCGGCCACACUGGGACUGAGACACGGCCCAGACUCCUACGGGAGGCAGCAGUAGGGAAUCUUCGGCAAUGGGGGGAACCCUGACCGAGCAGCGCCGCGUGAGUGAAGAAGGUUUUCGGAUCGUAAAGCUCUGUUGUAAGAGAAGAACGGGUGUGAGAGUGGAAAGUUCACACUGUGACGGAU
rnacentral:rRNA from 1 species